rnacentral:rRNA from 1 species
GACGAACGCUGGCGGCGUGCUUAACACAUGCAAGUCGAACGGAAAGGCCUGCUUUCCCUUGUGGAUUGCGGGUACUCGAGUGGCGAACGGGUGAGUAACACGUGAGUGAUCUGCCCCCAACUUGGGUAUAAGCCUGGGAAACUGGGUCUAAUUCCCGAUAGGACUGCAGGGUGGUGCCUGUGGUGGAAAACGAUUUUCUAGUGGUUGGGGAUGAGCUCGCGGCCUAUCAGCUUGUUGGUGGGGUAAUGGCCUACCAAGGCGGCGACGGGUAGCCGGCCUGGGAGGGUGGACGGCCACAUGGGGACUGAGAUACGGCCCAGACUCCUACGGGAGGCAGCAGUGGGGAAUAUUGCACAAUGGGCGGAAGCCUGAUGCAGCGACGCCGCGUGGGGGAUGACGGCCUUCGGGUUGUAAACUCCUUUCGACCGCGAGGAAGCCACCUGGUUGGAAGGGUGGUGACGGUAGUGGGAGAAGAAGCACCGGCUAACUACGUG